AUACUUACCUGGCAAGGGAGAUACCCUGAUCACGCAGGUAGUUUUCCCAGGGUGAGGCUCAUCCGUUGCACUCCGGAUGUGCUGACCCCUGUGAUUUCCCCAAAUGCAGGAAACUCGCCUACAUAAUUUGUGGUAGUGGAGGAAAAAAUAGAACAGUAUAUGAAACCUUAU
rnacentral:snRNA from 1 species